rnacentral:rRNA from 1 species
AGCGUUGUACGGAUUUAUUGGGCGUAAAGAGCGUGUAGGCGGCCAAGUAGGUCCGUUGUGAAAACUGGAGGCUUAACCUCCAGCUGUCGAUGGAAACCAUUUGGCUAGAGUCCGGAAGAGGAGAGUGGAAUUCCUGGUGUAGCGGUGAAAUGCGCAGAUAUCAGGAAGAACACCCGUGGCGAAGGCGGCUCUCUGGGACGGUACUGACGCUGAGACGCGAAAGCGUGGGGAGCGAACAGG